UACGUAGGGGGCUAGCGUUGUCCGGAUUUAUUGGGCGUAAAGAGAGUGUAGGCGGCCAGGUAGGUCUGGUGUGAAAACUCGAGGCUUAACCUCGAGAUGUCAUCGGAAACCAUCUGGCUAGAGUCCGGAAGAGGAGAGUGGAAUUCACGGUGUAGCAGUGAAAUGCGUAGAUAUCGUGAGGAACACCAGAGGCGAAGGCGGCUACCUGGACAAUUGCUGACGCUCAGGCACGAAAGCGUGGGGAGCAAAAGGG
rnacentral:rRNA from 1 species